UGGACAGAUUAUUGUAUUUGUUUGUAUUCGACCGUAUUCACAGCGUGAAAUAGGGGAUUGCACUGUUUUUAAACGGAAAGUGAAUCAAUUAACAUAAUAGACUCCU
rnacentral:pre_miRNA from 1 species